rnacentral:rRNA from 1 species
UCCUUCGGGUAGCAGCAGUGGGGAAUGGGAAUAUAGCACAAUGGGCGAAAGCCUGAUGCAGCGAGGCCGCGUGAGCGAAGAAGUAUUUCGGUAUGUUUGCUUUGGAGGGACGAUUAGGAUGACGGUACCAGACUAAGAAGCACCGGCGAAAUACGUGCCAGCAGCCGCGG